rnacentral:rRNA from 1 species
UACGAAGGGGGCUAGCGUUGCUCGGAAUCACUGGGCGUAAAGGGUGCGUAGGCGGGUCUUUAAGUCAGGGGGGAAAUCCUGGAGCUCAACUCCAGAACUGCCUUUGAUACUGAAGAUCUUGAGUUCGGGAGAGGUGAGUGGAACUGCGAGUGUAGAGGUGAAAUUCGUAGAUAUUCGCAAGAACACCGGUGGCGAAGGCGGCUCACUGGCCCGAUACUGACGCUGAGGCACGAAAGCGUGGGGAGCAAACAGG